rnacentral:misc_RNA from 1 species
UGCACUCUUAGCUCGGCCUCUCUUUGUUGUUGCUCAUUCAUGGUCUGUUUUAUCCUUAAUUGGUCUUCAAAAGCUUGUGCGGGUGAUAAUGCUGCUAAAGUAACCCUUCGUCCAUCAUGAUCAAAGGAGUACCUAUUCCUAAAUCCAUCAUGCACUACCUUCCUAUCAUAUUGCCAUGGUCUCCCUAGCAAAAUAUGUCCAGCAUGCAUUGGCACCACAUCACACAACACCUCAUCCUUAUACCUUCC